GACGAACGCUGGCGGCGUGCUUAACACAUGCAAGUCGAACGGAAAGGCCCUGCUUUUGUGGGGUGCUCGAGUGGCGAACGGGUGAGUAACACGUGAGUAACCUGCCCUUGACUUUGGGAUAACUUCAGGAAACUGGGGCUAAUACCGGAUAGGAGCUCCUGCUGCAUGGUGGGGGUUGGAAAGUUUCGGCGGUUGGGGAUGGACUCGCGGCUUAUCAGCUUGUUGGUGGGGUAGUGGCUUACCAAGGCUUUGACGGGUAGCCGGCCUGAGAGGGUGACCGGCCACAUUGGGACUGAGAUACGGCCCAGACUCCUAUGGGAGGCAGCAGUGGGGAAUAUUGCGCAAUGGGCGGAAGCCUGAUGCAGCAACGCCGCGUGCGGGAUGACGUCCUUCGGGUUGUAAACCGCUUUCGCCUGUGACGAAGCGUGAGUGACGGUAAUGGGUAAAGAAGCACCGGCUAACUACGUG
rnacentral:rRNA from 1 species